rnacentral:rRNA from 1 species
ACGAGCUUGCUCUGAUGUGAUUUUAUCUGACAAAGAGUGGCGCACGGGUGAGUAACAUCGUGGGUAACCUACCUCUUAGCAGGGGAUAACAUUUGGAAACAAGUGCUAAUACCGUAUAAUACCAACAACCGCAUGGUUGUUGGUUGAAAGAUGGUUCUGCUAUCAUCUAAGAGAUGGACCCGCGGUGCAUUAGCUAGUUGGUAAGGUAACGGCUUACCAAGGCGAUGAUGCAUAGCCGAGUUGAGAGACUGAUCGGCCACAAUGGGACUGGGACACGGCCCAUACUCCUACGGGAGGCAGCAGUAGGGAAUCUUCCACAAUGGGCGCAAGCCUGAUGGAGCAACGCCGCGUGUGUGAUGAAGGGUUUCGGCUCGUAAAACACUGUUAUAAGAGAAGAACGGCACUGAGAGUAACUGUUCAGUGUGUGACGGUAUCUUACCAGAAAGGAACGGCUAAAUACGUGCCAGCAGCCGCGGUAAUACGUAUGUUCCAAGCGUUAUCCGGAUUUAUUGGGCGUAAAGCGAGCGCAGACGGUUAUUUAAGUCUGAAGUGAAAGCCCUCAGCUCAACUGAGGAAUGGCUUUGGAAACUGGAUGACUUGAGUGCAGUAGAGGAAAGUGGAACUCCAUGUGUAGCGGUGAAAUGCGUAGAUAUAUGGAAGAACACCAGUGGCGAAGGCGGCUUUCUGGACUGUAACUGACGUUGAGGCUCGAAAGUGUGGGUAGCAAACAGGAUUAGAUACCCUGGUAGUCCACACCGUAAACGAUGAGUGCUAGAUGUUCGAGGGUUUCCGC